UACGUAGGGCGCAAGCGUUUGUCCGGAUUUAUUGGGCGUAAAGAGCUCGUAGGCGGUUUGUCGCGUCGGAUGUGAAAACCUGGAACUCAACUCCGGGCCUGCAUUCGAUACGGGCAGACUUGAGUACUGCAGGGGAGACUGGAAUUCCUGGUGUAGCGGUGGAAUGCGCAGAUAUCAGGAGGAACACCGGUGGCGAAGGCGGGUCUCUGGGCAGAAACUGACGCUGAGGAGCGAAAGCGUGGGGAGCGAACAGG
rnacentral:rRNA from 1 species